GAUCAGCAUCAGAACAACAUGAAGAACCCAUCUGUUCUGUGGGGUGUCUGUGUCCUGCUGCUGUCUGGACUGACUGUUUCUUCAGGUGAAAUGAUGAAUUCAACCAAUCAGACUCAAUAACAGUUGGACAUUUGGUCCAUGUGUCUUUAACCUGUUGAAUGUGUUGACUCUGUCCAGUCUCUGUGGACGUCUUUCCAAACGUUCAGCAGUUCUUCAGAGGAGACAGUUUGUCUGUGAGUUGUGCAGAUGUUCAGACAGAUGGAUGGACAGUGAAGAGGACACUGAGGAACGGAAACACUGAGACGUGCAGAGUUUGGAAGGAUAGACGGGUCAUUCUGCGGCGUCGGUCCUCUCACGUCAGGGUCCAGUGGAGUUUACUGGUGUGAGACCAGUUCAGGACAGCAGAGUGACCAGGUGUCCAUCACUGUAACAGAUUUUUCUGUAAUCUUGGACAUCCCUGCACUUCCUGUGGAGACAGGAAGUGAUGUCACUCUGCGCUGUGUAGUCAUAGAUGGUUCAACACGGAAAGCCGAGUUUAAAAAAAACAGUUCGACACUCUCAUCUGUCCCAGUAGAAGAGUGGACCAUCUCUGUAGACCACCUGUCUGAUGCAGACCAGUACUCCUGUUAUGUUCCAGAUCUUGGUGAAUCUCCAUCGAGCAGCCUGAGGGUCAAAGAUCCUGGUUCUUCAGGUCCUGGUUCUUCAGAUCCUGGUUCUUCAGGUCCUGGUUCUUCAGAUCCUGGUUCUUCAAUGUCCAUUGUGAGGCUGUUCCUCCACCUGCUGGUCGCGAGUCCGUACUGCGUCUCCACU